rnacentral:ribozyme from 21 species
AAUCGACUAGGCGAUUUUAAAUAGGUGUUAAGCCUAGUGCGGUAAGAGGUAUAACCCUCUUGCGUCACG